rnacentral:pre_miRNA from 1 species
AUUCCAGUAUAGGUAUGUCCCAUGCGAUAUUUGGGACAUAAUUACACUAAAA